rnacentral:rRNA from 1 species
GAUGAACGCUGGCGGCGUGCCUAAUACAUGCAAGUCGAGCGAACGGACGCGACGCUUGCUUCUCUGAUGUUAGCGGCGGACGGGUGAGUAACACGUGGAUAACCUACCUAUAAGACUGGGAUAACUUCGGGAAACCGGAGCUAAUACCGGAUGAUAUUUUGUACCGCAUGGUUCAAAAGUGAAAGACGGUCUUGCUGUCACUUAUAGAUGGAUCCGCGCUGCAUUAGCUAGUUGGUAAGGUAACGGCUUACUAAGGCAACGAUGCAUAGCCGACCGGUGAGGGUGGUCGGCCACACUGGAACGGGGACACGGUCCAGGCGCCUACGGUAGGGAGCAGUAUGGAAUCUUCCGCAGUGGGCGAAAGCCUUACGGAGCAACGGGGCGUGAGUGAUGACGGUCUUCGGAGCGUAAAACUCUGUUAUGAGGGAAGAACAUAUGUGUAAGUAACUGUGCACAUCUUGACGGUAACUAAUCAGAAAGCCACGGCUAACUACGUG